rnacentral:rRNA from 1 species
GACGAACGCUGGCGGCGUGCUUAACACAUGCAAGUCGAACGGAAAGGCCCUGCUUUUGUGGGGUGCUCGAGUGGCGAACGGGUGAGUAACACGUGAGUAACCUGCCCUUGACUUUGGGAUAACUUCAGGAAACUGGGGCUAAUACCGGAUAGGAGCUCCUGCUGCAUGGUGGGGGUUGGAAAGUUUCGGCGGUUGGGGAUGGACUCGCGGCUUAUCAGCUUGUUGGUGGGGUAGUGGCGUACCAAGGCUUUGACGGGUAGCCGGCCUGAGAGGGUGACCGGCUACAUUGGGACUGAGAUACGGCCCAGACUCCUACGGGAGGCAGCAGUGGGGAAUAUUGCACAAUGGGCGGAAGCCUGAUGCAGCAACGCCGCGUGCGGGAUGACGGCCUUCGGGUUGUAAACCGCUUUCGCCUGUGACGAAGCGUGAGUGACGGUAAUGGGUAAAGAAGCACCGGCUAACUACGUG